UGGGGAAUAUUGCGCAAUGGACGAAAGUCUGACGCAGCGACGCCGCGUGUGGGAGGAAGCCCUUCGGGUCGUAAAGCUCUGUUGUUGGGGACGAAGGGCGAAGGGUUAAUAGCCCCUAGCCUGACGGUACCCUUCGAGGAAGCCCCGGCUAACUACGUGCCAGCAGCCGCGGUAAUACGUAGGGGGCGAGCGUUGUCCGGAAUUAUUGGGCGUAAAGAGCGUGUAGGCGGCCCGGUAAGUCCGCCGUGAAAACCUGGGGCUCAACCCUGGGCGUGCGGUGGAUACUGCUGGGCUAGAGGAUGGUAGAGGCGAGUGGAAUUCCCGGUGUAGCGGUGAAAUGCGCAGAGAUCGGGAGGAACACCAGUAGCGAAGGCGGCUCGCUGGGCCAUUCCUGACGCUGAGACGCGAAAGCGUGGGGAGCGAACAGGAUUAGAUACCCGCGUAGUCC
rnacentral:rRNA from 1 species